rnacentral:rRNA from 1 species
UACGUAGGGCGCAAGCGUUAUCCGGAAUUAUUGGGCGUAAAGAGCUCGUAGGCGGUUUGUCGCGUCUGCCGUGAAAGUCCGGGGCUCAACUCCGGAUCUGCGGUGGGUACGGGGCAGACUAGAGUGAUGUAGGGGGAGACUGGAAUUCCUGGUGUAGCGGUGAAAUGCGCAGAUAUCAGGAGGAACACCGAUGGCGAAGGCAGGUCUCUGGGCAUUAACUGACGCUGAGGAGCGAAAGCAUGGGGGAGCGAACAGG